AUUUACUUGAAAUAUUUUUUUUUUUAAAUAUAAAAAUAUUUUGGUCUCAGUAGGGGUUGAACCUACGACCCUAGGAAUUGUAGUCAAAGUUGGUUUAUAGAAGAAAAUGAAUACUCUUCAAAAAGGGGGGUAGUUGAUUAGAAUGGUCAAACUUUAAGUCUGGUGUGUAAUCUGGUAAACCUGAUAAAUAAAAGUUCUCUCGCUUGCAGCUAGUAAAGCCGCCAUUCAUGAUUGCUGAAAUGGAUUGAAAAAAACAACAACAGAAAACAGAAGUAAAAGAAUCGAUUGGGACAACUCAGCAGCAAGAACGCAAUGCUUUCAAAGUAACAAAUAGCAGGAGAAUGAGGACAGUUGGGGUAGUAGCAGAAAAUUUUCUACAGCUAAAAUCUAAAUGUAAAUAAGAGACCGGCAACUACACCGAUCAUAAAACAAGACAAUAAGAGGGCGACAACGAGUUUACCUGUUGGAGAAGACGAUUACAUGGAACUAACAACCCGACACACAGAAUUUAACAACCUGUACCAGACUUUAAUAGUGUUGAAAAAUAAAUACGCCACCAAUACAACCAUUCAAAAAGACAUGAAUAAUUGUGAAGAAUUGUUAAAAAACAUGAUAUAUAAUAUAUUUAUUUAUUUAAUUUUGUUGGGUUUAACGUCGCACCGACACAAUUUUAGGUCAUAUGGCAACUUUCCAGCUUUAAUGGUGGAGGAA